rnacentral:rRNA from 1 species
GACGAACGCUGGCGGCGUGCCUAAUACAUGCAAGUCGAACGCAGUGGGGACGGGUGAGUAACACGUGGGUAACCUCGCAUCAGAGGGGAUAACACUUGGAAAAAGGUGCUAAACCGAUACUGAUGGAUGGACCAGCGGUGCAUUAGCCAGUUGGUGGGGUAACGGCGCACCAAGGCCACGAUGCCUAGCCGGCCUGAGAGAUUGAUCAGCCACACUGGGACUUAGACACGGCCCAGACUCCUACGGGAGGCAGCAGUGGGGAAUCUUCCGCAAUGGGCGCAAGUCUGACCGAGCCAUGCCGCGUGAGUGAAGAAGGUUUUCGGAUCGUAAAACACUGUUGUCAGAGAAGCGGUAUCUAAACAGGAAGCCACGGCUAACUACGUGCCAGCAGCCGCGGUAAUAC